rnacentral:SRP_RNA from 1 species
CCGCAACGCUACUCUGUUUACCAGGUCAGGUCCGGAAGGAAGCAGCCAGAGCAGACGACGUGUGUGCCGGGAUGUAGCUGGCAGGG